GGGAGAGCCAUAUGGGAAUUGUGCAACAGCCUUCCGUCCUCUCAGUUGCUCAAAACUCAGAGGCCGACGAAGUCCAUCCACAGAAUCCUUACCAGAAAGAAAGCCACGGAGUGCAAACGAAGUAUCCAUUGAUAGCUCGAAGAAUCCGGAGCACGGAUAACGGGAUCGGUGGAUAGAAUCCGGCGAUAGCCGGAGGGAUCGCCUGCUGAGAUAGACCAACGGA
rnacentral:misc_RNA from 1 species